rnacentral:rRNA from 1 species
AGUCAAGUAAUUAAGUGCAUGUGGUGGAUGCCUUGGCAGUCAGAGGCGAUGAAAGACGUGAUAGCCUGCGAAAAGCUCCGGGGAGGCGGCAAAUAUCCUUUGAUCCGGAGAUGUCUGAAUGGGGGAACCCACCUACUUUAAGGUAGGUAUUGCAACAUGAAUACAUAGUGUUGCAAGGCGAACGAGGGGAAGUGAAACAUCUCAGUACCCUUAGGAAAAGAAAUCAAUUGAGAUUCCCUCAGUAGCGGCGAGCGAACGGGGAUCAGCCCAUUAAGUUAUGUGUGUUUUAGUGGAACGCUCUGGGAAGUGCGAACGUAGAGGGUGAUAUUCCCGUACACGAAAGGGCACACAUAAUGAUGACGAGUAGGGCGAGGCACGUGAAACCUUGUCUGAAUAUGGGGGGACCAUCCUCCAAGGCUAAAUACUCCUGACUGACCGAUAGUGAACCAGUACCGUGAGGGAAAGGCGAAAAGAACCCCUGUGAGGGGAGUGAAAUAGAUCCUGAAACCGCAUGCAUACAAGCAGUGGGAGCACCUUCGUGGUGUGACUGCGUACCUUUUGUAUAAUGGGUCAGCGACUUAUAUUCAGUAGCAGGUUAACCGUAUAGGGGAGCCGUAGAGAAAUCGAGUCUUAAUAGGGCGUUUAGUUGCUGGGUAUAGACCCGAAACCAGGCGAUCUAUCCAUGAGCAGGUUGAAGGUUGGGUAACACUAACUGGAGGACCGAACCCACUGUCGUUGAAAAGCCAGGGGAUGACUUGUGGAUAGGGGUGAAAGGCUAAUCAAGCCUGGUGAUAGCUGGUUCUCCCCGAAAGCUAUUUAGGUAGCGCCUCGGACGAAUACCAUAGGGGGUAGAGCACUGUUUCGGCUAGGGGGUCAUCCCGACUUACCAAACCGAUGCAAACUCCGAAUACCUAUGAGUACUAUCCGGGAGACAGACUGCGGGUGCUAACGUCCGUAGUCAAGAGGAAAACAAUCCAGACCGCCAGCUAAGGCCCCAAAAUCAUAGUUAAGUGGGAAACGAUGUGGGAAGGCAUAGACAGCUAGGAGGUUGGCUUAGAAGCAGCCACCCUUUAAAGAAAGCGUAAUAGCUCACUAGUCGAGUCGGCCUGCGCGGAAGAUGUAACGGGGCUAAAACUAUGUGCCGAAGCUGCGGAUGUAUACUUAGUAUAGUGGUAGGGGAGCGUUCUGUAAGCCGAUGAAGGUGUGUUGAGAAGCAUGCUGGAGGUAUCAGAAGUGCGAAUGCUGACGUGAGUAACGACAAAACGGGUGAAAAACCCGUUCGCCGAAAGACCAAGGGUUCCAGUCCAACGUUAAUCGGGGCUGGGUGAGUCGACCCCUAAGGCGAGGCCGAAAGGCGUAGUCGAUGGGAAAAUGGUUAAUAUUCCAUUACUUCUGUGUAAUGCGAUGAGAGGACGGAGAAGGCUAAAUCAGCCUGGCGUUGGUUGUCCAGGUGAAAGGAUGUAGGCAUGUAUCUUAGGCAAAUCCGGGGUACUCUAUGCUGAGAUCUGAUAGCAAGCUGUACUUGUACAGCGAAGUGGUUGAUGCCAUGCUUCCAGGAAAAGUCUCUAAGCUUCAGUUACACAGGAAUCGUACCCGAAACCGACACAGGUGGUCAGGUCGAGUAGACCAAGGCGCUUGAGAGAACUCUGCUGAAGGAACUAGGCAAAAUGGUACCGUAACUUCGGGAGAAGGUACGCUGUUGUUGGUGAUGGAACUCGCUUCCUGAGCUGACGACAGCCGCAGAAACCAGGCCGCUGCAACUGUUUAUUAAAAACAUAGCACUCUGCAAACACGAAAGUGGACGUAUAGGGUGUGAUGCCUGCCCGGUGCUGGAAGGUUAAUUGAUGGGGUUAGCGUAAGCGAAGCUCUUGAUCGAAGCCCCAGUAAACGGCGGCCGUAAUUAUAACGGUCCUAAGGUAGCGAAAUUCCUUGUCGGGUAAGUUCCGACCUGCACGAAUGGCAUAAUGAUGGCGGCGCUGUCUCCAGCAGAGGCUCAGUGAAAUCGAAAUCGCUGUGAAGAUGCAGUGUACCCGCGGCUAGACGGAAAGACCCCGUGAACCUUUACUGCAGCUUGACACUGAACUUUGACCUUACUUGUGUAGGAUAGGUGGGAGGCUUUGAAGCUGGAACGCUAGUUCCAGUGGAGCCGUCCUUGAAAUACCACCCUGGUAAUGUUGAGGUUCUAACUCUGUCCCGUGAUCCGGGACGAGGACCGUGUCUGGUGGGUAGUUUGACUGGGGCGGUCUCCUCCUAAAGAGUAACGGAGGAGUACGAAGGUGCGCUCAGCGUGGUCGGAAAUCACGCGUAGAGUAUAAAGGCAAAAGCGCGCUUAACUGCGAGACCCACAAGUCGAGCAGGUACGAAAGUAGGUCUUAGUGAUCCGGUGGUUCUGUAUGGAAGGGCCAUCGCUCAACGGAUAAAAGGUACUCUGGGGAUAACAGGCUGAUACCGCCCAAGAGUUCAUAUCGACGGCGGUGUUUGGCACCUCGAUGUCGGCUCAUCUCAUCCUGGGGCUGAAGCAGGUCCCAAGGGUAUGGCUGUUCGCCAUUUAAAGAGGUACGCGAGCUGGGUUUAGAACGUCGUGAGACAGUUCGGUCCCUAUCUACCGUGGGCGCUGGAAAUUUGAGAGGAUCUGCUCCUAGUACGAGAGGACCAGAGUGGACGAACCUCUGGUGUACCGGUUGUGACGCCAGUCGCAUCGCCGGGUAGCUAUGUUCGGAAGGGAUAACCGCUGAAAGCAUCUAAGCGGGAAGCCUACCUCAAGAUAAGAUUUCCCUAGGACUUUAUGUCCUCUAAAGAGCCGUUCGAGACUAGGACGUUGAUAGGUUGGAUGUGGAAGCAUAGUGAUAUGUGAAGCUGACCAAUACUAAUUGCUCGUGAGGCUUGACUAU